rnacentral:tRNA from 1 species
GCCCGCUUAGCUCAGAGGUUAGAGCAUCGCAUUUGUAAUGUGAUGGUCAUCGGUUCAAUUCCGAUAGCCGGCU